GUUUAUCUCUAAUCUACAGCUCAGGUGUCCUCAGUGAAAUUGUCCUACAGCUGCUUGUUCUUCAAAGUCAGGAAAGUGUUCUGUUCUGCUGAUGGAGACAACCUUCACUUCAGCUGGACUUCUGUGUCAAACACUCGGUUGGAGGACGACAACAAAACUCUCGUACUGGAUAAAAUACAUAAUAAUAAUGUCACCUGUCAUGUAGAAAAUCACAUCAGUCGUGUGCACAAUACAAUUAACCUCCCGACUUGUAUUGAUUUCAUGGUUGUGUUUGUGCUCGUGUGGCUCUUUGAGGUCAUCAUCCUGCUGUCUGUGUUAGUGGGCACACUGUACAUUUACCCCAGAAUCUCCAGGAAACAGAGGACACCAAAGAGACCAGGAAGCUCAGUAACCCUGAACAAGGAUUAGAAGAGGCAGUCUGUGGCUGAUCUCCUCUAUAUGAGCAGGCAUCGCUCUCCGUCUCAUCCAGACUAAAACCUGAUAAAACUGUAACCAUUACCAUAACAGUGUAACAGUGCUAUCUGCUUACCGACAUUGCUUUUGCUCUCUGUUUUGGAUUAUUUGCUGUGUUUUAAAUAAAAUAAUUCAGCCUCAUUAUUCAUAUAUCAUACUGAGUGCUAAUUUUGUUUAUGUUUUACUUCUAAUAUUCUAACCACAAUGUAAUGCUUUGAUGCUACAAAGGCUACAAUAUUAAAUAUUUUUAAUAUUUAAUGUAAAUCCAGUUCUACAUCUAAUUCUAAGUCCUAUGUAAUGAAUGUGUAAAUGCUGAAAUAAAACCUACACACUGA